UUAUUCAGAAGAAAAAUGAAAGAAAAAAGGAAUUUCAUAAAAACUAAGCUACCAGAAGGAUCCAUUGUGGAAGGAAAUGGCAAACCACUCCAGUAUCCUUGCUUAAAAAAUCCCAUUGAUAUCUCUGAUCACAAAGAGUUGUAUGUGGUCAAAUGACUAAUCAACAAACUUACUAAAUGAGAUGGCAGAUUUUGCAAUAUUGUACACCCAUAUUCCCCUGCAAGGAAGAAAGUAGAAACGUCAAUUCCCCAAGCCAAGAAGACCCCCAUCUCCCAGAAGCUCCUACAAAAUCUAGAAUAUAGAUGAGUUUGGUCCAAUCACAUUCUAUUUCCAUACCCGGUGGAUUUACAGCACACCUGAAUUGGAGUUUCUUCAUCUGCAAAAUGGGGGUAAUAAAUAACAGUACCUCUGACGCCCAUUGCAAAGAUUAAAAGAGAUAUGUAAACUGCUCUGCCAGUCUUAUGAACUGAGCCUGGUCCACUAAGACCCAAGGAAUGGCAAGGAUCUCAAAGCAUGCACAGAUAUUUUCUACCUAUUUCCUUCUGGCUAUGUAUGAAUCAUCCACUGAAAGUCCAUUGAUUGGCUUACGUGCCAGAAGAGCUAAGGCCAAAGUAGAUAUUUUAAAAAAGAAAAUGGAUUCUAGUUGACUCUGUGGGUACCAGAUUCUCAGGAAGAAAGUUGUGGUUUCAGAGUCGGGGAGAGGGAGAGGAUCAUAGGCUCCCAGGAUGGAUAAAGAAGAUGCCUUCCCUCCUCCUGUGUAUGUCCUUCCUUUAGCAUCAACCUUGUGGUCAUCUAAAAGUCAAGAGAGAUUAUACUAGUGGCAGCUGGCAUUGUCCCCUUCCCUGGCACCUGAU
rnacentral:lncRNA from 1 species